rnacentral:rRNA from 1 species
UACAGAGGGUGCAAGCGUUAAUCGGAAUUACUGGGCGUAAAGGGUGCGUAGGUGGUUAGAUAAGUUAGGUGUGAAAGCCCCGGGCUUAACCUGGGAAUUGCGCCUAAUACUGUUUAGCUAGAGUACUGUAGAGGAAGGUGGAAUUUCCGGUGUAGCGGUGAAAUGCGUAGAUAUCGGAAGGAACAUCAGUGGCGAAGGCGACUUUCUGGACAGAUACUGACACUGAGGCACGAAAGCAUGGGGAGCAAACAGG